rnacentral:lncRNA from 1 species
GUCAUCAAAGGCCCCCAUGGCUUCCAUCGAUGUCCCGGUCUCCGAUCGUGACGGAGGAGGGUACACCGCGACAGCACCAGGUAUGAUUUUCUCUCUUUUUUAUAUUUUAAGCGAAAAAUAAAUAAAAAGAAAAGGGAAAAAAAGAAAAAAAAGCGAAUCUAACAAUGAACACCUGAAAAUAAAACGAAAAAUUCACCUUUAGUAUUCAAAAGCCUCUUUUUUUAUUUUUCCUUCCCUUUUUAUAGUAUUCGUAUUGGCUUUUUAUAGCCGGAAUUACAGAAAAAAUCAAAAUAAAAUGCCUCCAAAAUCCAAUCUGUUAUCCCCCUUUUCUCGUAUUUUUGUUGCCUUUUUCUGUUGUUGCUGUUUGUUUGCAGAUUUGGAGGCCAGCUUGGAGCAACGGACGGAGGUACACACGCGCGUGAAGGCGCAACUCGCGCAGAGGAAACUCUGGCCGUUGCGGCGCUAGGGGUCGUGUGCUGCUACUAGGGUUUUUGAAGGCUUGUUUUGGGUCACAUUGUAUUUGGGCUAGGGUCUAAUAUUUGGGCUGAUGUAAUUUGGGUCUUUUGGAAAAAUGUAAAUGGA